rnacentral:rRNA from 1 species
UACGGAGGGGGCUAGCGUUGUUCGGAAUUACUGGGCGUAAAGCGCACGUAGGCGGCUUUGUAAGUUAGAGGUGAAAGCCCGGGGCUCAACUCCGGAAUUGCCUUUAAGACUGCAUCGCUAGAAUUGUGGAGAGGUGAGUGGAACUCCUAGUGUAGAGGUGGAAUUCGUAGAUAUUAGGAAGAACACCAGUGGCGAAGGCGGCUCACUGGUCCGGUACUGACGCUGAGGUGCGAAAGCGUGGGGAGCAAACAGG